CUGACGUGGACACCCAGUGAGCAGCUCUCUGGCUCUGUCCUGGUGGCGUUUGGGAGCGUAGCUCUGAGCAGAGAUGUACAGUCCCGUUCCACGGCGUCUGACAGAAAGCUCCGCCCCCAGCUUCUGGCUGGUGAGGGCGAGCGUCCUGCAUAUUCCUACCUCUUCCCAGAGUCCUUUGGGGCCCUUACUGGGGAGCUUAACCAUGCGGGGCACAGAU